ACGCUCGACACCUGAGGCAGCAGUGGGGAAUAUUGCACAAUGGGGGAAACCCUGAUGCAGCGACGCCGCGUGAGCGAAGAAGUAUUUCGGUAUGUAAAGCUCUAUCAGCAGGGAAGAAACUGACGGUACCUGACUAAGAAGCACCGGCUAAAUACGUGUCAGCAGCCGCGGUAAUCUGAGCGGGCUGGCAAGGC
rnacentral:rRNA from 1 species